rnacentral:rRNA from 1 species
GAUUCUGGCUCAGGAUUAACGCUGGCGGCGUGCCUAAUACACGCAAGUCGAAUGGUAGCAAUACCAUGGCGAACGGGUGAGUAACACGUAGGUAACCUGUCUUUAAGCCGAGGAUAACCAUUGGAAACGAUGGAUAAUACUGGAUAGGACAUUUGAAGGCAUCUUUAGAUGUUUAAAGAUUUAUCACUUAGAGAGGGGCCUGCGGCGCAUUAGCUAGUUGGUGAGGUGAAGGCUUACCAAGGCGAUGAUGCGUAGCCGGACUGAGAGGUUGAGCGGCCACAAUGGAACUGAGAACGGUCCAUACUCCUACGGGAGGCAGCAGUAGGGAAUUUUCGGCAAUGGGCGGAAGCCUGAACCCGAGCAACGCCGCGUGAACGAAGAAGUAUUUCGGUAUGUAAAGUUCUUUUAUUAGGGACGAAAAGACAGAUUGACGGUACCUAAUGAAUAAGCUCCGGCUAACUACGUGCCAGCAGCUGC